rnacentral:rRNA from 1 species
AUUGAACGCUGGCGGCAGGCCUAACACAUGCAAGUCGAGCGGAUGAAGGGAGCUUGCUCCUGGAUUCAGCGGCGGACGGGUGAGUAAUGCCUAGGAAUCUGCCUGGUAGUGGGGGAUAACGUCCGGAAACGGGCGCUAAUACCGCAUACGUCCUGAGGGAGAAAGUGGGGGAUCUUCGGACCUCACGCUAUCAGAUGAGCCUAGGUCGGAUUAGCUAGUUGGUGGGGUAAUGGCCUACCAAGGCGACGAUCCGUAACUGGGCUGAGAGGAUGAUCAGUCACACUGGAACUGAGAGACGGUCCAGAGUCCUACGGGAGGCAGAAGUGGGGAAGAGUGGACGAUGGGCGAAAUACUGAUCCAGGCGUGCAGGGUGGGUGAAGAGGGUCUGCGGAUUGGAAAGCAGUCUAAGGUGGGAGGAAGGGCAGUAAGUGAGAACCUGGCUGUUGUGACGUUACCAACAGAAGAAGCACCGGCUAACUUCGUG